AUAAAGUUAUAAAUAUACUGACACACGGAUUACUAUUAUCUCUGCAAUAUACAUUUCUUUGUUGUCCUUGGAAUAUAACUGCUGAGAAUCAUCGUGAUCUCGGUGGUGUACAAGUGCUACGGGUGAAGUGAGUUUAUUGGCCGGCCUUGAAUGUGAACACCAGAUGCGUCGGUCAAGUACUCGUUGAAUUUGUACGGAAAUUGGCAGUGGGCCCUACCCCAAACUCGUAAAAUAUUGUCCACGAGACUAGCCCCAGGGGAUUUUUUUUUAUUUUUCGUGGUCAGUCGUUGCCGUCGGCACGGACGCCAACUUGGGCUCUUCGUUACUGUAUCGAUCACUUGUACUCAGUCGUCUCUCUAACAAUCGAUUGCAAGGACGAACGACUAAUAACACGAAGAAGUAGUCGACCAUAAGGAUAACCGACCAAACAAAAAUUCCCACGACAAAAAAAAAUAGAGUCAUUUCUUUCAAAUGAAAAAUCACGAGUCACUAAUUUAAUUCGAAAAAUAUAAUCGAAUAAAUCAUGACCAACCAAUGAACCGAAAUAGAAGCCUCCAAUUAUCAAACAUCUAACGACGCUGAAUUAAAAAUGACAACAAAGAUCCUUUUGAACGUCAAAUGAUUUUUUAAUCGAGUUAAAAUGGUACAGUGGCACUCAGUGCGGCACUGACAACUCUUGACAACGACUAAAGCCCACUUAUCGUUCGCCGCUAGAAGAUAAGCGUUAAUUCGAUACUUCCUGCAAGCACUGGAGUACUUCUUCUCCAUUCGUGAUUUUUUUUUUCAGCAUGAUUAAUCUUCAAAUGAGGUGGUUAAAGCCACUGCAUAAUGAGAGAAGACUGAAGUAUGAAAAUUUCUUAUUCACCCGUGAUGAAUCUCCAGAAUGAUAUGGAGAAUUUGUUACCAACCAAGUGAAUGCCAUGACCCCCUUUGCACUGCACUUUCCACCACAAUUUCCGUGCUCGUUUAGUCGAGUGAUUGAUGAAAAAAAAAUUUAAUUAGCGUUUUUUGGAAAGGCUACUACCCGAUUUUUUUUUUUCAUUAAAGAGAAAUUGUUUUAAUUGCUCUUCAACAGUUUAAUAUUUUUUUCUCAUUCGAUUGAUGAUUUAAACGCUAAGAAUGUUGUACAAAUUUAUAAUAAAAAAUGUUCUAUGAUAAAUAAUUAAUACGUAAGAAAUCCCUGAAGAUAAUGAAAUUUGAAAACUUAUGGGAAGAUUUUCUUACGUGAAACUUGUUUUUUAGAAAAUUCUCUA